rnacentral:sRNA from 1 species
UCGUAGCGAACGUUCCAGGCUAAGGAGC